rnacentral:rRNA from 1 species
AUUGAACGCUGGCGGAAUGCUUUACACAUGCAAGUCGAACGGCAGCACGGGGCAACCUGGUGGCGAGUGGCGAACGGGUGAGUAAUACAUCGGAACGUGCCCAAUCGUGGGGAUAACGUAGCGAAGUUACGCUAAUACCGCAUACGAUCUACGGAUGAAAGACGGGGGAGUUGGCAACGACCUCGUGUUAUAGGAGCGGCCGAUGUCGGAUUAGCUAGUUGGUGGGGUAAAGGCCUACCAAGGCGACGAUCUGUAACCGGUCUUAGAGGACGGUCGGUCACACUGACACUGAAUAACGGGUCAGACUCCUACGGGAGGCAGCAGCUAAGAAUCUUCCGCAAUGGGGGAAACCCUGACGGAGCGACGCCGCGUGGAUGAUGAAGGCCGUAAGGUUGUAAAAUACCUUUUGUUGGCGAAGAAUAAGCGUGGGAGUGGAAAGCUCACGUGAUGACGUUAGCCGA